rnacentral:rRNA from 1 species
GUUGUAUGGUUAAGUGACUAAGCGUACACGGUGGAUGCCUUGGCAGUCAGAGGCGAUGAAGGACGUAGUAACUUGCGAUAAGCGUAGAUGAGGCAGUAACAGCCACUUGAGUCUACGAUUUCCGAAUGGGGAAACCCACUGGCAUAAGCCAGUAUCAUUGAGUGAAUACAUAGCUCAAUGAAGCGAACCGGGAGAACUGAAACAUCUAAGUACCCCGAGGAAAAGAAAUCAACCGAGAUUCCGAAAGUAGCGGCGAGCGAAAUUGGAUUAGCCCUUAAGCUUUACAUGUGUUAGACGAACGGUCUGGAAAGUCCGACGAUACAGGGUGAUAGUCCCGUAGUUGACGAUGCAUGUUCAGUGAAAUCGAGUAGGGCGGGACACGUGUUAUCCUGUCUGAAUAUGGGGGGACCAUCCUCCAAGGCUAAAUACUCCUGACUGACCGAUAGUGAACCAGUACCGUGAGGGAAAGGCGAAAAGAACCCCUGUGAGGGGAGUGAAAUAGAACCUGAAACCGUGUACGUACAAGCAGUAGGAGCACCUUCGUGGUGUGACUGCGUACCUUUUGUAUAAUGGGUCAGCGACUUAUAUUCAGUGGCAAGGUUAACCAUCUAGGGGAGCCGUAGGGAAACCGAGUCUUAACUGGGCGCCAUAGUCUCUGGAUAUAGACCCGAAACCGAGUGAUCUAGCCAUGGGCAGGUUGAAGGUUGAGUAACAUCAACUGGAGGACCGAACCGACUAAUGUUGAAAAAUUAGCGGAUGACUUGUGGCUAGGGGUGAAAGGCCAAUCAAACUCGGAGAUAGCUGGUUCUCCCCGAAAGCUAUUUAGGUAGCGCCUCGGACGAAUACUACUGGGGGUAGAGCACUGUUAAGGCUAGGGGGUCAUCCCGACUUACCAACCCUUUGCAAACUCCGAAUACCAGUAAGUACUAUCCGGGAGACACACGGCGGGUGCUAACGUCCGUCGUGGAGAGGGAAACAACCCAGACCGCCAGCUAAGGUCCCAAAUUACAGCUAAGUGGGAAACGAUGUGGGAAGGCUUAGACAGCUAGGAUGUUGGCUUAGAAGCAGCCAUCAUUUAAAGAAAGCGUAAUAGCUCACUAGUCGAGUCGGCCUGCGCGGAAGAUGUAACGGGGCUAAGUUGUAAACCGAAGCUGCGGCAAUGUUCUUUGAACAUUGGGUAGGGGAGCGUUCUGUAAGCCGUUGAAGGUGUGUUGUAAAGCAUGCUGGAGGUAUCAGAAGUGCGAAUGCUGACAUGAGUAACGACAAGGGGGGUGAAAAACCUCCCCGCCGGAAGACCAAGGGUUCCUGUCCAACGUUAAUCGGGGCAGGGUAAGUCGACCCCUAAGGCGAGGCUGAAAAGCGUAGUCGAUGGGAAACGGGUUAAUAUUCCCGUACUUCUUACAAUUGCGAUGGGGGGACGGAGAAGGCUAGGUGGGCCUGGCGACGGUUGUCCAGGUUCAAGUGCGUAGGCU